GAUCACCUACCCUUCUUCUAACUCCUCAAUUUCUUUUCUCUUUUCUUUUCUUCUACGUAUUCCUAUCUCCGAGUUUCCAAAGAGACAGACGAAGACGAAAGAGUCAGACUCCGCAAUUGACG
rnacentral:ribozyme from 14 species